UUCAAGUGAUUCUCCUGCCUCAGCCUCCUGAGUAGCUGGGAUUACAGGCGUUGGUCACCACACCCAGCUAAUUUUUGUAUUUUUAGUAGAGACAGGUUUUCGCCAUGUUGGCCAUUCUGGUCUUAAACUCCUGAUCUCAGGUGAUCCGCCCGCCUCAGCCUCCCAAAGUGCUGGGAUUACAGGUGUGAGUCACUGUGCCUGGCCUAUUUCACUAAUAUUUUUAACUGAGAUUUUAUUAUGUUGCCAUUUGUUUAUCAUUCCACAUCUGUAGCCAAGCUCUGAGCGCUUACAAUUUUCUGAUAAUUGUUGGGAGCUUACUCAGGAGCAUCUGGACCACUGGACACUUGUGGUAACUGUCCGCACCCAGCACUCCCUGUCAUCAGAUGCUCCACGCCCUUCUCACGCUCACCUUGAGCUAGUAACUCUCCUCUGAGCUGUAUUCUUCAAAGAUUUCUGAACAACUUCAGCAACUUUAAGGUCAGGUCACUUGCAAAGCUCAGCUCUCUCCUUGGCAAGUUUCUGUUUCUUUCUUUCUUGUCACAGCCUGUUCUUGAAGUUAGGGUCACUCCGUCUGUUGUGGUCCAAGUAAAUGCAGGACCCGGUGAAAAGGACUCUGCGUUCCCUGGCUGUGAUGGCAUUCUUCUGGCCCAGCGUCUGUUGUAGACUGUGGUGGCAGGGUCUCAAUUCUCAAACCAGCAAUGAACAUCUGCUGCUCAGUUCCUAUUAUUACUGUACAUAAUAGGCUGCAUUUCUUAAAUUGGAAAAAAAAUGGGCAUUUUGUACAUUCAAGUUAGCCUUCUAGUUAGUUCCCUACCAAAUUAACUAUUAUCAAGAUGUUUAUAUUUCAUUGAAUUCACAAGCUGUCUGACAGCAACAGAGGUCGUGUGAACAUUGUGAAAUCAGGAGCAGAAACAUGGAGGUGUCUUUUUUCUGCUUCCCCCCUCAUUUGAGAUUUGCAGCGUACCUAACAGCAACUGAUGUGGUAUAUUCUGUCCUUAAAUUUAAAAAUUAAAAAAGUAAACACUCAGGUUGAAUAUUUGGAGGGAAACAUUGAUACUUUUGCACAGCAAAAAUAAAUACAUACAUGUAUUUCUCCUUUGUUCAAGACAUUUCUCAGCAACUGGAAGUGCUGCUGUGAGAUU
rnacentral:lncRNA from 1 species